rnacentral:lncRNA from 1 species
GAGGGAGGGAGGGAAAGGUUAGGUGAGGAGUAUGUAUGACAAAGGAGAGGGAGAGGUUAUAUAAAGUUAAAACAAAAGAUGAGUAUUAACUAUUUGAUGUACGUUUUAAGUACUGAGUGACAUUUAGACCUAGUCAAAAUGUGAAAAACAGUCGGGAACAAAGGAUGGAGUAGCUAAGCGGAUCACCAUCAACGUGGGGUAAACAGGCCUCUCAGAAAAAGGAAGAAGUGAAAAGGGUACUGGUCCACUUACCGGGUAAGAGGAAAUAUUGUUCACUCCGAAUAGGUGCACUUGACUCCCACUUUGGGCACAUGCCCUGGAGGCAUGGUGGAGACACUGUGGCCCAGCCCCUGGGGGUGCCAGUCUUGGUCCCGCCAGGGCCAAUAGGGCUGAGACAUAACAGUACUGGGAGCGUGACACUCAGACAGUACUGAAGGCUCCUUACCUUUGGUCGCACUGCAGCGGUCACCCUACGACUCCAGGGAGUCAAACUCAAUUCCUGGAGGGCCAUGUGUUUGCUGGUUUUGGUUGUGUCCUUUCAAUGUGUCCAAUGAAGACAUGAGGGGAGUUCCUAACUAGCCAAUGACCUUAAUUGAUUAAUCAAGUACAAGGUAGCGAAAACCUGCAGACACUCGGCUCUCCAUGAAUUGAGUUUGACACCCCUGUGGUAGAGCUCUCAAGCAUCUAUUCACUUUUCUAAUGGGGGUUUUGGGUGGCUAACAAGUGUUAAUAUUGUUAGUUUAGUGUGUAGACAUGUCUGGCCCUAUGUGAUGCCCAUGUGUGUUGUUGUCGAUGUUCUUCUUUCUACACUUGUAGAUGAGUAUAUCUGGACUGUAAUGAUUGAGCAUUUCUGGGGCUCUCUGAAGUUCUGAGAUUAUAACUAUACACCUCUGGGAAUAUUAACGUGCGUUUAAUGAAUUUUGAAUGACCAAACAUAUGUGUUUGCAUUUAUGGGCUAUUAAAAUAGCAUGUGUGUUUGGAUUUAUGGAUAGGCCUAUAUAAUGGUGUGGUUCAACCUUUAGUAGAAAACAUGUUAUUUGCACAUUUACAGUAAUGGGAUGUUUGAAGGAAAUGUUGUUGGGCCUUUUAUUAACGAAACAUGUUAUUUUACUGUUGUUAAAUUGCAGUCUAAAGAAUAAUAAGUACUAACCUUUGAACCUGUAUAAUCUGACAUCUUUCAAAUAGCUUCUCAGGUAUUUAUAUGUGCCUGUCUGUGCACAGCAUAUAUGCAUAGUACCGUACAGAGUUGACUCCUGAUAAGUGAACUUCGGAUAAGUGUACAUUUGGAAAAAUGCUCACCUUGGCUGCCAUGUUGCUUAUAUAUUGCCGUAAGUCAGUCUUGACAACAGGUGGCAUUGUGACGUACACCUGGUCUGCCCAGGUCUCUGAGCAGGCUGGCCCUCAGCUGCAGCCCCGAGACGUUCUUCCACCCCCUCCUCUUCCUCCUUCAGCGCCUGGGUCACCCUGGGAGGAAGUGAGCGGAGUCGGCCAGAGGCUACAACGCAACGCCAUAAAACAGUUUAUUUUGAGUUGAGGAGCCAAUGCAAUGUUAUUGAUCAGGUAACAGAAACAUCUUUUUUUUGGGGGGGGGGGAGUUGAGGUAACCAUAGGACACAGCAGCAGGCAGCAGACAGUACUCACAUUGGGAUGGAUGGGGCAGAGGGGUACUUUGUGGAUUUUACCCUUAUCCAGUAAACCUGCAUGCACACAUUAUGGAUUGCACUGAGGUUGGAACUGAUGUUGUAUGCAGGUGUGGAUGGGCACUUGUUGUUAACGUGUGGGUGAUGUGUGUGUGUCUACCUGGUGCACCUCUCUCUGGCCUUGGUGGCAGCUGUCUCCUGGAAGAGGGAGCUGCUGUGUUUGAGGUACUUGUCGUACUCCUCCCCUCCCUGGCGGGGGAAGAUCCUGCGGAUGCCGCCCAGGUGCUGGUCCUCGUAAAAGAUAAUACAUAGAAAAAAACAUACGUUUCUUAAUUUUUUUAUUUUGUACCAUCAUCUUUGAAAUGCAAGAGAAAGGCCAUAAUAUAUUUUUCCAGCCCAGGCGCAAUUUUGAUUUUGGUCACUAGAUGGCAGCAGUGUAUGAGCAAAGUUUUAGAAUGAUCCAAUGAACCAUUGCAUUUCGGUUAAAAUGUUUGUGUCAAGACUGCCCAAAUGUGCCUAAUUGGUUUAUAACUAUGCACUCUCCUCAAACAAUAGCAUAGUAUUAUUUCACUGUAAUAGCUACUGUAAAUUGGACAGUGCAGUUAGAUUAACAAGAAUUUAAGCUUUCUGCCAAUAUCAGAUAUGUCUAUGUCCUGGGAAAUGUUCUUGUUACUUACAACCUCAUGCUAAUCGCAUUAGCCUAUGUUAGCUCAUCCGUCCCGCGGGGGGACCCAUCAAAACGCCAGGGCAGGCAAAGGGCAGGUCCAUUGUCUUGGUCUCCGGACCUGACAGGGAAUAAAGCUGCGCCCGAGGCGGUGUAGUACCCGGGAGAAGGUCGAUGGCGCAGUCAUAGGGCCAAUGCGGAGGAAGCGCACUUGCACGGGCCUUGCUAAAAACCUCCUGGAGGUCCUGGUACUCCGCGUGAACGGGGGAGAGGUCCGGGGCUUUUCCCAAGCCCACAGGAAGACGUCCCGGGGCAGGCAGCGCCAACUUCUGGCAAUGCCCAUGGCAAAACGGGCUCCAACCCAGGAUAGAACCAGUAGCCCAGUCGAUCAGGUGAUUGUGCGUCUGGAGCCAGGAAAACCCCAAAACCACAGGUGCAUGAGGGGAUUCGAUCGGCAGGAACUGCAUAAACUCACUGUGAUUACCCAACACUCUCAGGUUAAUGGGACACGUGGUGUGGGUGACUCUGCCAAUAGAGCGCCCAUCCGACACUCUGAUGUCCAUGGGAAUGGAGAGGGGUUGUGUGGGGAUUCCCUGCUCCGACACCAGGGUAGCAUGCAAAUGAAGAGGGCUGCAGCUCAAAUAUGAGAGAACACUGGGAGAGAAAUGCCCGGCAGAAUCCGGGAUCUCCAGCGUAGCGAUCCGGAGGAGGUAUGCAGGGUUCUUGGGAAGCCAGGGUAGAUUGGGGAAAAACGCCAGUGGUAGUGGGGUAAUUGACAGUCUGGGGGAUUACUGUAGUGGCGGGCUGCCUCACAGACAAUCCGAGGAAUUGUUCCAGCAAUGUGUUGAGGGCACGGUCCUGGUGUACCGCCAAGGUCUGGAAUCCUUCCAUAAGUACUUUAAGUAACUCGUUGUGUCUUCCAAUGGUGGCUCCCUGGGAGAAGAUGGCGCUGCAGAGCCGGUAAGAGUCUGCUGGGUCAGUCAUGGCCAGUUUGUACUAUCAGACUCAGGAUAUGACCCAGAUGCAGACACGGGAGGCGGAUAGUACAGUUCUCAGAUUAUUUAUUAGAAACACAGGGCAGGCAGAGGGCAGGAUGGCAGGCAGGCUCGGGGGCAGAGAACUGGUGGUGGUGUUGUGCGAGAAGCAGGUGUGGUAGCUGUGGUGGAGCACUGAGUGGGCUGAGACCAGAGCCUUGAUCACCACAUCCUCGAUGUCGGCCCAUGCUAAGUCUUUUAUGACAAGAGCUUGUAAAACAGUAGCUUGAGUCAUCAAUGGGGCCAUAUCACUGGUAAACAAAUACGGUUUGAGAGGAGCAAGAUUGAACACACCCACUGAGUUCAAAGACAGACGUCUAUCUUAUCUAAGUCCGUCUGCCUGCGUGUCUGUGUUUGAGUGUGUUCCUGUCUGUCUCUGUCCCCUUGAACACGUUUAGAACAUACUGAUGAUGUACAACAUAUCAAUUUCCUGAUGAAAACAAAUGUUACCACUUCUAUCCUACAUUGUACUAUACAUUCAUUUUAUUUUUGCACUGUCUCUAUGCACACUCACACACACUUAAUUUGCUCACACACACAUAACAUGCACACACAUUUAGACUGGCACAUUUACACACACUCACAUACAGUACAAUCAUCAUAUGCUGCUACACUGUUUAUCAUAUAUUGUAUCCUGAGGCCUAGUCAUCUUACCCCUAUACAUAUCUACCUCUAUCACUCCAGUAUCCCUGCACAUUGUAAAUCUGGUAUUGGAACUGACCCUGUAUAUAGCUUAAUUACUUCUCGUGCUCUUAUUUUAAUAUCUUGUGUGUUUGUUUGACCUUAUGUUAUUUGUAGCACUAUAUUAAUAUUGAAUACUGCAUUGUUGGGUUUAGAGCUUGCCAGAAAGGCAUUUCACUGUACUUGUGCACGUGGCAUAAAAAACUUGAAACUUUAAAUACGAUCCCUAACAAAACUACACAGUACGAACAUAAAAGACCAAUGACAUUGAAAUAAACAUGAGAAGCACACAAUGUAAAACACGUUGCCCUCUCCUGUGGUUGUGCCGUGCCGCACCACGUUGUUGCGGGUGGAGUAGUUGAAGUGGCGGGUGCAGAAGCGGGCCAGCUGCUCCUUAUACAGGAAGAUACGGAAGGGGGUCGCAGAAAUCACCAGCACGUAGCUGCGCAGGUCAAACGUGAAGCCGUCAAUGACCAAUGGCUGCUUGUGGUGGCAGAGAGGAACAAGAGGCUGAGACAAAGUAGAAUAUCUGGAGAUAUGACAAGACAGGUUGAGAAAAUGCCUGUUUCGCCUUCCCUGGCAACUCCAGUUACUGGAUAUUAUGGAAUAUAUUCAAUAACAUUGAAUAGAAUAGGAACAGGAGCCACAUACAUCUAUUGGUUCCCAAAGUUUUCCGUUCCGGGGACCACAGUCAAAAGUUUGUGGACCACCAUUCGCGCAGAUGCAGAAUUUUAAAUAAAUACAAUUUAGAGUACAUUUUAUCAGUGAAUGUAAAAGUUUAAAGGCCUAUUAUUAUUAUUAUUAUAAUGAUAAACAAUCUGCAUUGUUAAACGCUAUUUAAAAUGGCUUAUUAUACCAUUAAUAUUCCCAAAUGUUGUUAUUUUAGGAAGAAAUACUAUUUUAAAAACCACGACCACCUGCAGUAGCCCUAAGGACCACAGGUUGAAAACCACAGAUCUAUGCACUAUGUUAUUAUUUGUUGCAGUACAUGAGACUACAGUCAUGCCCUGAAGAUGUAGAUCCGGCAGAUCAUGUGCUCUCCGUGUGGGAAGUCUUUGGUGGACUUGGUGAGGUAGAUGUCACGGCCCUGGCUGCCCGUGUCCGCCUUGCAGAUGUACAGUACCAGUCAAACUUUUGGACACACCUACUCAUUCAAGGGUUUUGCUUUAUUAUUACUAUUUUCUACAUUGUAGAACAAUAGUGAAGACAUCACAAGUAUGAAAUAAGUGUUCCAUAAGUGUGAUUUCAUAGUAUUGAUGUCUUCACUAUUAUUCUACAAUGUAGAAAAUAGUAAAAAUAUUGAAAAACCCUUGAAUGAGUAGGUGUGUCCAAACUUUUGACUGGUACUGUACGUCUUGUGCUUUUUGGCCCUGGUGUAGGCCUGGAAGUCACUGUAACUGUGGAGCGGUAGUGGGAGGUACACAACAAAGACGUUUAAAUACAAGAGGCAGUAUUAUAAAAGACAAGGCUUCAGUUGCCAAAAAAGAAGCACAGAUGUUUAGAUCCAUUUCCAACACAGCUGCAUCUUCUUCACAUCUUCUUGUAAAUGCAGUACAAUAAAAUAAAAAAAGUUAAUCCUGCUCCUAUUGUACUUUCAGAAAUUAUUUAAAUCAGGGGUCCCAGCCAUUUUUCCCCAGGGCCCCCUUUUCACAUAAAAAAAAUGUCAUAAAAAUGUGGUAUAUUUAGAUAGCGUAUAUUAAAUAAAACACCAGUUUGAAUUUAUUUAAUUUGAAGGACCUAGGAAAAUGUUUGUUUUUUAAGCUCAUUUCCUGCAAUUUUAUGUAGUUUAACAAG